GUGCUUUUUGACGCAACAACAUAUGAGCUGUUUCAGGGUCAUUUGGUGCAAUAAUAAGUGACAGCAAUCUGACGAAUCUGUCCCACUUCAACCUCUAUACUUCUAACACUUCCAAGUAUACUUCAAACUUUAGGUUCGCGCCAUAAAAUCGACUUUGGCAAAAAUCGGUUGGGCUAACCUUACGACCGCUGGGGAGGAGAACAGGACGUAGUUGCUUAAUCUGUGUGAGAAACAUCGGCAGAAGGAGUUGAGCUCUGUCAAUUCCCGCCGGUCUCAUUACGUUAUUACACAGUUAAUUACAUCAACAUUGCCAAAUUGGAAUUGUUAGAAGGAAUCUUCGGUGGAUUGUUAACCGACGGAAUCCAACAAGUUCCAGCUGACAGUAGACUCCAGCGCUAAAGAUAGCGGAAUAGUUUACGCAACCUAUUACUCGAGAACCUGCGAACAUUUGCGAACUUAAAGGUUCGACAUUCUCAAAUAGCAGCUUAUAGGGGUUCGCUUUGAAAGGGCGCACGGCCCCUUUUUGUUCGUCAUAGGAGAUGGCGCA